rnacentral:rRNA from 1 species
AGCGAACGGGCGAGUAACACGUGGGCAAUCUGCCCUGCACUCUGGGACAAGCCCUGGAAACGGGGUCUAAUACCGGAUAUGACCACCGGCCGCAUGGUCUGCUGGUGGAAAGCUCCGGCGGUGCAGGAUGAGCCCGCGGCCUAUCAGCUUGUUCGGUGGGGUGAUGGCCUACCAAGGCGACGACGGGUAGCCGGCCUGAGACGGGCGACCGGCCACACUGGGACUGAGACAAGGCCCAGACACCUACGGGAGGCAGCAGUGGGGAAUAUUGCACAAUGGGCGCAAGCCUGAUGCAGCGACGCCGCGUGAGGGAUGACGGCCUUCGGGUUGUAAACCUCUUUCAGCAGGGAAGAAGCGCGAGUGACGGUACCUGCAGAAGAAGCACCGGCUAACUACGUGCCACCCAGCCGCGGUAUACGCUAGGGUGCGAGCGUUGUCCGCGAUUAUUGGGCGUAAAGAGCUCGUAGGCGGCCUGUCGCGUCGGAUGUGAAAGCCCGGGCUUAACCCCGGGUCUGCAUUCGAUACGGGCAGCCUAGAGUUCGCGCAGGGGAGAUGGGAAAUCCUGGUGUAGCGGUGAAAUGCGCAGAUAUCAGGAGGACCACCGGUGGCGAAGGCGGAUCU